AUAGGGCAACUGACCCGGUUGUGGCCAUCGACCCCUUUGUGGCCAUUUGGGCCUUCAAAUAUUUAUAACUAAGGCAUGGACAAAUAAAUUACUCUGUGAUGUACAGUAUUUAAAAUAUUGAAUAUUGGAGAUACUGAUACCGUUGGCAGCUUUGAUGUGUCAAACUUCACUUCGAUGCAACAAGUAAUUUUUUAUAGUUGAGGGUGAAAUUGUUAAGAUCUUAACAAAAAGGCUAAGGCGAGCGGAGAUGCAAUAAAUUGCCUUCACACAAAGGGGAGGUCAGAUUACUUUGCAGCUUUUACCAACGUCAUAUAAAUGUUGAUCUCUUUAUUUGUAAGUCAAAUUAAAGUGAAGUAAUAAUAUUUCAUAUUUUCCAAACUAAAUAAAAAUCAUUGUUUGUAAAAUGUCCAAUUUAAUUAAUAAAUCUUAAUUACUUUUA